UUUAAGUUUAAAGAAGGCAAUGCGCGCCACCUCAUUAAUCUCAAAUUCAAAUCUGCUGCUGAUAUAGCUAACCGAGUUGGGUCCAUGGAUUUUGCAAGGUUAAUAUUUCUAUAGCGUUUCUUCCCUUUGCUCAGUUCCCAUCCAACCACAUUAGGCAUGUAGCUUUGAUCUCUCAACCCUUUGGGAUCAUCAAUCAGGGCUUUACCAACAAGGGAUAAAGUAAG
rnacentral:misc_RNA from 1 species